GGAAUAGUUUAUGUAAACAUGAUCCAUCAAUAUCUCAACUAGUUACAAGCAUACACGGUUACAUGACACGUAACUGUGUGUGCAGGUUUCACCUGUAACUUGACACCUGUAACCGUGUGCAGGUUUCACCUGUAACUUGACACCUGUAACUGUGUGCAGGUUUCACCUGUAACUUGACACCUGUAACUGUGUGUGCAGGUUUCACCUGUAACUUGACACCUGUAACUGUGUGUGCAGGUUUCACCUGUAACUUGACACCUGUAACUGUGUGUGCAGGUUUCACCUGUAACUUGACACCUGUAACUGUGUGUGCAGGUUUCACCUGUAAUUUGACACCUGUAACUGUGUGUGCAGGUUUCACCUGUAACUUGACACCUGUAACUGUGUGUGCAGGUUUCACCUGUAAUUUGACACCUGUAACUGUGUGUGCAGGUUUCACCUGUAACUUGACACCUGUAACUGUGUGUGCAGGUUUCACCUGUAACUUGACACCUGUAACUGUGUGUACAGGUUUCACCUGUAACUUGACACCUGUAACUGUGUGUGCAGGUUUCACCUGUAAUUUGACACCUGUAACUGUGUGUGCAGGUUUCACCUGUAACUUGACACCUGUAACUGUGUGUGCAGGUUUCACCUGUAACUUGACACCUGUAACUGUGUGUACAGGUUUCACCUGUAACUUGACACCUGUAACUGUGUGUGCAGGUUUCACCUGUAACUUGACACCUGUAACUGUGUGUGCAGGUUUCACCUGUAACUUGACACCUGUAACUGUGUGUACAGGUUUCACCUGUAACUUGACACCUGUAACUGUGUGUGCAGGUUUCACCUGUAACUUGACACCUGUAACUGUGUGUGCAGGUUUCAC